UGCGCGCACACGUCGCGGGUGUCCCAGGAACGGGGAUGACGCUGCCUGAUAAGUGGCGACCUUGGAGGAGACAAAGAGAGCGGUUCGCAAAUGGCCCGCUCAGGUGCAAGGGGAACCGCGCGGAACCGAGCCCUUCCGAAGAAGCGAGCCGCUGCCUCUGCUCUGCCUGGAGACGCUGCCGCAGAAGCGUGGAGGCCCCGGGGCCCCCUGUGAAAGAUCGUUCGGGCGGGCAAACACUCGGCAGUACGCGGUGCGCUGCGGCUUCGGCCAGCCGGAGGGCAGGGGGAUCCACUUGGACCCCUCUCGCCCCCCCCCCCCCUUUCGUUGCCCCUUCGGGGGCAUUCCUCGACACGUAUAUUGGCUCCUCCUUUCUCUACGAGGGGCCUAGUUGCAUAAAAGGGCCCCGAGUCCGCCGGUAGAAACAGUGUUCCUCAAACCUGUCCCGUGGAACAGACGGCCCGUUUUCCGUUUCCUGAGUACUUGGAUCUGCAAACACAGCCAUGAAAGCAGCGUUCUUCGUCAUCCUGUCGCUGGCGCUCGCAGCAGCAGCCUUCGCUACCCUCGGCGUAGGGCUGAACCUCGGCUAUGGUGUCGCUUCCCCGUAUGGUGCAUAUGGUGCAUACAGACCAUACGGCUACAGGCCCUACGGCUACGGUGGUCAUGGUUACGGCUACAGACCCUACGGCUACGGUGGCGUCGGUUACGGUUACAGGCCAUACGGCCUCGGCUACGGCUACCCCGGCUACGUUGGCUAGUGCACUGGCACCGCAACGCGCAGGUUUUUCCCGACGAAUGCAACUUCUACAUGGCAAGUUUUAUCGGCCUUCGCACUGCAGUAAAUAAAUUUGAUUGAAAC
rnacentral:lncRNA from 1 species